rnacentral:rRNA from 1 species
CCUACGGGAGGCAGCAGUGGGGAAUAUUGGACAAUGGAGGAAACUCUGACCCAGCAACGCCGCGUGAAUGAUGAAGGUCUUCGGAUUGUAAAGUUCUUUUCUAAGGGAAGAAGAAAUUGACGGUACCUUACGAAUAAGCCUCGGCUAACUACGGGCCAGCAGCCGCGGUAAUACGUAGGAGGCGAGCGUUAUCCGGAAUGACUGGGCGUAAGGGGCGCGUAGACGGCGAGACAAGUCUGGUGUGAAAGGCCGGGGCCCAACCCCGGGACUGCUCUGGAAACUGCCUGGCUGGAGUACAGGAGAGGUGAGUGGAAUUCCUAGUGUAGCGGUGAAAUGCGUAGAGAUUUGGAGGAACACCAGUGGCGAAGGCGGCUUACUGGACUGUAACUGACGUUGAGGCUCGAAAGCGUGGGGAGCAAACAGGAUUAGAUACCCCGGUAGUC